rnacentral:rRNA from 1 species
GGAAUGCAGCUCAAAAUGGGUGGUAUAUUUCAUCUAAAGCUAAAUAUUGGCCAGAGACCGAUAGCGCACAAGUAGAGUGAUCGAAAGAUGAAAAGCACUUUGGAAAGAGAGUUAAACAGUACGUGAAAUUGUUGAAAGGGAAGCGCUUGCAAUCAGACUUGCGCCUAGUUGAUCAUCCCAGCUUCUGCUGGGUGCACUCGAUUAGGCUCAGGCCAGCAUCGGUUUGGGUGGUUGGAUAAAGGCUUGGGGAACGUAGCCUCCUUCGGGGGGUGUUAUAGCCCCAGGUGCAAUGCAGCCUACCUGGACCGAGGACCGCGCUUCGGCUAGGAUGCUGGCGUAAUGGUUGUAAGCGACCCGUCUUGAAACACGGACCAAGGAGUCGACCUAUUUAGCGAGUGUUUGGGUGUUAAACCCAUACGCGUAAUGAAAGUGAACGGAGGUGAGAACCCGUUAGGGCGCAUCAUCGACCGAUCCUGAUGUCUUCGGAUGGAUUUGAGUAAGAGCUAAGUGGGUCGGACCCGAAAGAUGGUGAUCUAUACGUGAAUAGGGUGAAGCCAGAGGAAACUCUGGUGGAGGCUCGCAGCGGUUCUGACGUGCAAAUCGAUCGUCAAAUUUGCGUAUAGGGGCGAAAGACUAAUCGAACCAU